rnacentral:misc_RNA from 1 species
CUGAGUUCGGGGGCAAUCCCAGUCCCGACCUCCAACCCUUUGUGAACAUAUCUUGUUGCUUCGGGGGCGACCCUGCCGUUCGCGGCAUUCCCCCGGAGGUCAUCAAAACACUGCAUUCUUACGUCGGAGUAAAAAGUUAAUUUAAUA